GGGGUUGUAGCUCAGUGGUAGAGCACGUGCCUAGUAGGUGUGAGGUACUGGGUUCAAUUCUCAGCACCA
rnacentral:tRNA from 1 species